rnacentral:rRNA from 1 species
CAUAUCAAUAAGCGGAGGAAAAGAAACUAACAAGGAUUCCCCUAGUAACUGCGAGUGAAGCGGGAAAAGCUCAAAUUUAAAAUCUGGCAGCCUUUGGUUGUCCGAGUUGUAUUCUGGAGAAGUGUUUUCCGUGCUGGACCGUGUACAAGUCUCUUGGAACAGAGCGUCAUAGAGGGUGAGAAUCCCGUCUUUGACACGGACUACCAGUGCUUUGUGAUGCGCUCUCAAAGAGUCGAGUUGUUUGGGAAUGCAGCUCAAAAUGGGUGGUGAAUUCCAUCUAAAGCUAAAUAUUGGCGAGAGACCGAUAGCGAACAAGUACCGUGAGGGAAAGAUGAAAAGCACUUUGGAAAGAGAGUUAAACAGUACGUGAAAUUGCUGAAAGGGAAACGCUUGAAGUCAGUCGUGUUGUACAGAACUCAGCCUUGCUUUUGCUUGGUGCAUUUUCUGAAUGACAGGCCAGCAUCAAUUUUGACUGUUGGAAAAGGGCUGGGGUAAUGUGGCACCUCCGGGUGUGUUAUAGACCCUGGUCACAUACAGCAGUUGGGAUUGAGGAACGCAGUGCGCCGUAAGGCAGGGGUUCGCCCACUUUCGCACUUUGGAUGCUGGCAUAAUGGCUUUAAACGACCCGUCUUGAAACACGGACCAAGGAGUCUAACAUACCUGCGAGUGUUUGGGUGGUAAACCCGAGCGCGUAAUGAAAGUGAAAGUUGAGACCUCUGUCGUGGAGGGCAUCAACGCCCGGACCUGACGUUUUCUGAAGGAUCCGCGGUAGAGCAUGCAUGUUGGGACCCGAAAGAUGGUGAACUAUGCCUGAAUAGGGUGAAGCCAGAGGAAACUCUGGUGGAGGCUCGUAGCGAUUCUGACGUGCAAAUCGAUCGUCAAAUUUGGGUAUAGGGGCGAAAGACUAAUCGAACCAUCUAGUAGCUGGU